AAAUCGUCCCCCAUAAUCGGAAUCUGCGAAGAAUUCUAAGAAAAUUUCACCAUGAAACCAUGUGUCUAAAAUGAAUUCCUAGUCCGCGCCGUGAAGCUUAAAGAUUGCACUAUGAGGUACAUAAGGUAUUUCGAGGUAUUUAAGACAUUUUAAUGUAUUUAAAAAAAAAAUACGCAUUUUCCAAUUAUGUUGGAGUCAAUUCUGAUUCAUUUUUUUACAACAAAUUUUAUAAUUUUUUUUUUUAAAUUUAUUUAACUUAUAAUUUUUUUUUUAAUUCAACAAAAAAAACCAACUAGCCAUGUACUGAGCCUCAUAUAAGAAAGUAGGAGCAAUGCGUACGUAACUUUUUAACGAAGUAAGGUAUCGGUCUGAAAAUUGAAAUAUAUAUUCAAAGGCAUUUUAAGCAACUAAAUAAAAGUGGGCGUGGCAUGAUAAAAGGCGGAAUUUAAUUUUAUUUUUAUUAUAAAGUUUAUUUGCUUUCCAACAAAAUCUCAAGUCUUUCUUUGACUCGAUUUGAGGAACUUUGGAACGACUUUCUAAAGUCAAUGACAUAACAGCAUCUCGAUUCUGUGGCAUAACUCGUCGUGAGACAUGUGUUAACAACUGCACACAUCGUUCGGUGCCCUGAAUGUGCGAUGAAAUUGCUGGAUCUGGCAUUGGUAUUUCAGCAGAAUUUAUGUAUUCCAGCAAGUGAUCGUGUGGGAUGUUUGCAGUAAAUGGAGGUUCAAAUAAGAUGUCGUCAUUAUCCAAGUCAACUAAAUGCAUAUAAUCGGUGCAAUCGAAAUUAAUGCGAUUCUUUUAUAAGAUCUAAGUUUAGUUGGGUCAUAUAAUUUCUCGCGAUAAUACAUAAUUUUAUUAAUUGC